UACGAAGGGGGCUAGCGUUGCUCGGAAUCACUGGGCGUAAAGCGCACGUAGGCGGAUUGUUAAGUCAGGGGUGAAAUCCUGGAGCUCAACUCCAGAACUGCCUUUGAUACUGAAGAUCUUGAGUUCGGGAGAGGUGAGUGGAACUGCGAGUGUAGAGGUGAAAUUCGUAGAUAUUCGCAAGAACACCAGUGGCGAAGGCGGCUCACUGGCCCGAUACUGACGCUGAGGCACGAAAGCGUGGGGGAGCAAACAGG
rnacentral:rRNA from 1 species